GUCGGAUAAUCGCGCCGUAAAAGGUGAGGAAAGUCCGUGCAUCCAAGGACAGACCGCCGGAGAAAUUCCGGACCGCGUGAGCGGGUGGAACAGGACCACAGAAAGACACAGCCGAUGGAUUUUUAAUCACAGGCAAAGGUGCAAUGGUGAGGUAAGAGCUUACCGGCUGUACUGAGAAGUGCAGACCAGGCAACCCCCGGUCGGAUGCAAGAUUAAAACAAGCGUUUGAGGUGUCCGCCGAGCUUGAAAAAUCGCUAGAGAUUAGGAGUAAUCCUAAUACCAGACAGAUGAUUAUCAGGAGCGUAUACUCUGAACAGAACACGGCUUAUGAGCUGCUUU
rnacentral:RNase_P_RNA from 1 species